GCCGCCGGUUCGUCGCUCGCGACGCCACUGGCGCGCACGCUGGACGUCCAGCCGGUACUACGAACUCGCCUACGGGGUGCUCUUAACCGAGUGUCCAGGCGGGGGCCGGCAACGUUACUUUGAACAAAUUAAAGUGCUUAAAGCAGGCUAAAUUCCGCUCGCAUACACGCGCAUGGAAUAAUCGAAUAGGACCUCCGUUCUAUUUUGUUGGGUUUUUGUGGAACGACAGACGGAGGUAAUGAUCAAUGGGUGCGGAUGGGGGCAUUCGUAUUGCGACGUUAGAGGUGAAAUUCUUGGAUCGUCGCAAGACGGACUUAAGCGAAAGCAUUUGCCAAAAACGCUUUCAUCGAUCAAGAACGAAAGUUAGAGGUUCGAAGGCGAUCAGAUACCGCCCUAGUUCUAACCAUAAACUAUGCCAGCUAGCGAUCCGCCGAAGUUACUUCUACGACUCGGCGGGCAGCUUCCGGGAAACCAAAGCUUUCGGGUUCCGGGGGAAGUAUGGUUGCAAAGCUGAAACUUAAAGGAAUUGACGGAAGGGCACCACCAGGAGUGGAGCCUGCGGCUUAAUUUGACUCAACACGGGAAACCUCACCAGGCCCGGACACCGGAAGGAUUGACAGAUUGAGAGCUCUUUCUUGAUUCGGUGGGUGGUGGUGCAUGGCCGUUCUUAGUUGGUGGAGCGAUUUGUCUGGUUAAUUCCGAUAAC
rnacentral:rRNA from 1 species